rnacentral:rRNA from 2 species
GAGGGGAGCUUGCUUCCUGAUUCAGCGGCGGACGGGUGAGUAAUGCCUAGGAAUCUGCCUGGUAGUGGGGGACAACGUUUCGAAAGGAACGCUAAUACCGCAUACGUCCUACGGGAGAAAGCAGGGGACCUUCGGGCCUUGCGCUAUCAGAUGAGCCUAGGUCGGAUUAGCUAGUUGGUGAGGUAAUGGCUCACCAAGGCGACGAUCCGUAACUGGUCUGAGAGGAUGAUCAGUCACACUGGAACUGAGACACGGUCCAGACUCCUACGGGAGGCAGCAGUGGGGAAUAUUGGACAAUGGGCGAAAGCCUGAUCCAGCCAUGCCGCGUGUGUGAAGAAGGUCUUCGGAUUGUAAAGCACUUUAAGUUGGGAGGAAGGGUUGUAGAUUAAUACUCUGCAAUUUUGACGUUACCGACAGAAUAAGCACCGGCUAACUCUGUGCCAGCAGCCGCGGUAAUACAGAGGGUGCAAGCGUUAAUCGGAAUUACUGGGCGUAAAGCGCGCGUAGGUGGUUUGUUAAGUUGGAUGUGAAAG